rnacentral:rRNA from 1 species
UACGAAGGGGGCUAGCGUUGUUCGGAAUUACUGGGCGUAAAGGGCGCGUAGGCGGCCCCUUUUGUCGCGUGUGAAAGCCCCGGGCUCAACCUGGGAGGUGCGCGCGAAACGGGGGGGCUUGAGUUCGGGAGAGGAGCGUGGAAUUCCCAGUGUAGAGGUGAAAUUCGUAGAUAUUCGGCGGAACACCAGUGGCGAAGGCGACUCACUGGCCCGAUACUGACGCUGAGGCGCGAAAGCGUGGGGAGCAAACAGG